GGUCAAGCGAACAAGUGCAUGUGGUGGAUGCCUUGGCGAUCACAGGCGAUGAAGGACGCGGUAGCCUGCGAAAAGCUACGGGGAGCUGGCAAACGAGCUUUGAUCCGUAGAUGUCCGAAUGGGGAAACCCGGCCCUUUUGGGUCAUCCUGGACUGAAUACAUAGGUCCAGAGAAGCGAACGCGGUGAACUGAAACAUCUAAGUAACCGCAGGAAAAGAAAUCAACCGAGAUUCCCAAAGUAGUGGCGAGCGAAAUGGGAUGAGCCUUGCACUCUUUAUUUGUAUUGUUAGCCGAACGCUCUGGAAAGUGCGGCCAUAGCAGGUGAUAGCCCUGUAGGCGAAAACAGUAUGAAAGAACUAGGUGUGCGACAAGUAGGGCGGGACACGUGAAAUCCUGUCUGAAGAUGGGGGGACCAUCCUCCAAGGCUAAAUACUCGUGAUCGACCGAUAGUGAACCAGUACCGUGAGGGAAAGGCGAAAAGAACCCCGGGAGGGGAGUGAAAUAGAUCCUGAAACCGCAUGCAUACAAACAGUCGGAGCCUCG
rnacentral:rRNA from 1 species